rnacentral:misc_RNA from 1 species
AAGACUAUAGACCUGCGGAGUACCUGCGGAGGGAUCAUUACCGAGUGAGGGCCCUCUGGGUCCAACCUCCCACCCGUGUUUAUCGUACCUUGUUGCUUCGGCGGGCCCGCCUCACGGCCGCCGGGGGGCACCUGCCCCCGGGCCCGCGCCCGCCGAAGACAUCAUUGAACUCUGUCUGAAGAUUGCAGUCUGAGUAGAUUAGCUAAAUCAGUUAAAACUUUCAACAACGGAUCUCUAGAU